CCGCCGGGAAGAUAAAGGUGGGGACUUGUUGGUGAGCUGCUACUACAUCGACUGCGGCAUGAACGAGUUCGCAAUAUUGCCGGCGCAGUCUCUUGUGUUCCUACUCCACGGCUGUAUUCCAACACCCCUUCAGACUUUCAUUUCAAGCUUGAAAGGUGAGCUUACUGCCAUGGUUUAUUUCUCUUCCUUGCUAAUGUUUAGUCCAUAUCAAAUUGUUCAGUUCUAAACUUCACCUUCUACAGUCUAGCACAAGAAUUCGGCUCCCUGUCUGAAUUCGCGGAGCAUCUUGCUGCCAACGUUGACAUUGUCUUCCCAGUGAUACAUGGGAAUUUGGUGAAGAUGGUGGUAUUCAGGUUCGGAGUUACCAACGAAUAUUAAAUAUGCUUUACAUGCAGGAGAAAAUUAUGCUGGUGCCAUAGUGCAUGCUUGCAGGUAUUAGUGCGCUUAAUUUGGCACGGAACUGGCAUGUAAUGCUGACUGUGUCUUGGUUCUUUUAUAAGAAUCCCACAUUGCUGCUGCUUUCUGUUGAUGAUAAGACGCUAACACCUACCAAAUGGCUGCGCUCCGGUCGUGCCGGGGUGCAGCCACCGGGAAGAUAAAGUAGGUCUGCCGCCCGUCUCUACCUCUCACCGCGCCCUUACUGCCUCCAUGGCCAAGCGCAUGUUUUUUUCUCUGUCCCUCCAUAGCGCUCGUUACCGGCGGGAUACAUUUGACACUAUCUCAAAUCCAGUUUAUUUGACAUGUGUUUGAAAUGUAUAUUUAGCAUAAAGAUAAUACUGCAUUUCCUUAGGGACCUUAGUUUUGGCUCUGUUCUUGCUCAUAUUAUAAGUAAAAUAUUAAUACUUUAUGUCUCCAGCCAGUUCUUGAUCAAAGGAAGAUGCAUUAACAAUUCGUGUCUCCAACCAGUUUAGAUCAUAGGAAACUAUGGCAUAAUGCACUGCUGAAUUUUCUUGUUAGUGCUCACUGACAAUAUUUGUUCUCACGUACGGUAAUGCCUUUCGGUUAAACUAGGAAUUAGUUCAUUAUUGAAAGGUUUCAUCUGCAUUUUUUUGCUUCAUUCAUUUUUUGUCUAUUUAUUUUGCAUAGAAAACCAUCUUUGGUAUGCUUUAAUAGGGCUUAUUUAAUACAGUACAAGCAAAAUUGGAAGUAAUAGCAAACCAGCCAUGAAAAGUUUGAGAGACCAUGCAAACCACAAGAAAUGAUGUGCUCCUGUUAUUUUGCCAUGAUCUUGUGGCCCAAUUCCAAGGCUCUAUAAACUAAUGUUAGCUACUUGCUUCUUUGGAUGCCUUAAUUAUAGCCAGCGAGGAAGAUGGGGAAGACAGAGCCAGCAAGGAAGAUGGCUCGGCCCUGCCGCUGAUGCCCACCGGCCACUUCCGUCAGGCUCCGUCGUGGGAGGGGGCGCACCAUUUUUGGGUGUUCCUUUCCUACGAUCUGUUCAGGUUGAUCAUUCUUUUUUAUCCUGUCAUUUUUUUAUUUGCUUUGACAGUGUAUUUGGGUUAUUUCUUUUUUCUGGAGCUUGGGCAUAUUGGUUGUCUUGUUGGCUCUUUUUACCAGCAGUCUUUCCUUUUCAGUUUAUGGGAGCGAUUACUAGCUUACAUACAUAGUUUAGUUAUUAAGUUUCUACGUAAGUUCAGCCUCAGAGUACAGAUUUUGUAUCUAUUGCUUAUUUAAUCAAUUGAGAUCUAUUCUCUCCGGUUCAUAUAGUAUGUUAGCAUUUAACUUGGAAACUGUAUGCUUACUUCAAAAUUGGAAUGUGAAUUUUGCUUGCUGAUAGAUUCAGUUAUGACAUGGUUGCCUACUACUCAAAAUGAUUUUAUAGCGUAUCAUAAAUUUCAGGAACUGUAUCACAACAGAUCAUUGGCAUUGUAGCUUCAGUGGACAUGUAUGCUGAAUAUCCCCUCACUGGACAAUAUUGGAUUUUAGUGUAUACAAGCCCUCCUCUCAGCUGCUCAGGUAGUUCUUCUUUCUCAUUAUCAAUAAAUAAGUUGGUUAUAAAAUAUGCUUGAAGAUUGCAACACAGAGAGAUUACUUGGCAGACUAAAAUAAUUGGGAGCUUCUGAUUGGACCCUUCAAGCAAUAGUGUUGUUAAUAUGUUAAUUAUUAGAUUAUGUUACUAGAAUAAUUAUUGGAGACACACGCAUGCACACACACACAAACACAAUUAUGUCCGUUCAUGUAUCAUAUCCUUAUAUGCAAACUAAUUUUUUCCCUUAUACACAGGGAUUUAUGUUCUAUGCUGGAUGCAUAUUUUUGCACCCCUUUUGAAAUUAUUAUGGUGCAUAUGUGAUAUACCUAGCUUGUACUCAUUCCAACCGAAGGGGUGUGUCUUUAAUUUCCCUUUUAAGAAGAAACCUUCUGCAGUGAUGUGUCUCUAUAUUGGCAAAUGAUUAUGGUAGAAAUACCAGGAAACUAAUUGGAACUCAUAAAGCUCAUGAGCAUCACGGAGCCAAUAGUGUGAUAAAUUUUAUUUUAUGUCUGCAACUUUUGGUAUCACAAAGCAAGGAUGAACCCCCUACAUUUUUUUACACCUUUAACUACAUUAUUUGUUGUGCCAUUGUGGAUGUACCUACCAGAUAUUUGAAUAAAAUUUAGCCAUUCAAUAUACAUACCAGGAAAUUUAGACGCUCUUGUUCGUUACAGGCAUAAACACCUUACUGCAAAUGUUCUUCGUGUCUCGCCUCCCCAUCGUGAUGGGUGGCUCCUACAGCUUCGCCAUGCCAACCAUCUCCAUCAUCUUGGCUGGACGCUACGACGUGUGGGAGAUCCUCACGAGGUACUUACUACCCAGCAGAAUUGACUUCUUACCACAUAAGAGUUGUUGUACGCAAGCUAAGAAAUUUGUGUCGUUGCAAUAGAUAAAACUGGUUCUUUACUAAUUAACCAUUGUUUGUUUGAUGUUUUAUUUGUGAAAUUUGAUUACUAAUAUUUUGAUCUUGAGAAGAACAUGGCAGCACCUGCAGAUUAAACAACCAGUAUAUCUCUACUUAUUAGCUUCAUGAUGUGUUAUUGCUUCUAGAUAGGCAUGUCUAUUUCUUUCGCUGUCAUUGCAGAAACUUUUUUAUCGUGUAUACUGCAAUGUUGAGCUUUCAAUUCUUUUACCCAGUUUAACACAUAUUGGAGGGUGGGAGGAUAUACCGGUGCAAUGGAUGAACCAAGACUACCAAGAGGUCAAUUGCCUGAGUAUAUGCCAACUAUCUGAAUACAUAUGGCAUGAGACUGACGCCGAUUAGUUCCUCCCUGAAUGCUUGACUGCCAGGUCUUCUUUCAUCGGAAAUUGUUGUGCACUGAUAAUUUUGUUAGUUCUCACCCUCCCUAUUCAAACAGAAUUCAAGCAUAUUACAUGAUGUAUGUAUAUAAGAAGCUUAGUCGUGUGUCAGGCUUUGCAAAUAAAACUUAGAGCUCAAGUAGUUCAGAAUCAUACUGAAUAUCGCGUAUCAUGUAUCUAUAAUAACAAGCAUAACUGACUAUGAUUUUUUAGGAUAUUAUUUGCAGAUUUUAGGAAAGGAAACCUGACAGAGUUCCAGGGAAGUGGAGUGAGUUCCCUAUUUACAUUUAAAUUGUACUCCCUUCCUUGAAAAGAAGGCAUAUCAGUUUUGGUCAAAGUCAAACAAUGUAUUGGUUUGCUCUUUUGCUACAUGUUCUUAAAUUAUUGUAUGAUGCAUCUUUAGGCGGUGAGACCAGAAGCUGGGUGAUCAAAGCAACUACAUGAUGCAUCUCUGUCUAUGUAGCUGUUUACCAUAAGCUGGGUGAUCAAAGCAAUCUACAUGAUGCAUCUCUGUCUAUGUAGCUGUUUACCAUAAGCUGGGUGAUCAAAGCAAUCUACAUGAUGCAUCUCUGUCUAUGUAGCUGUUUACCAUAAGCUGGGUGAUCAAAGCAAUCUACAUGAUGCAUCUCUGUCUAUGUAGCUGUUUACCAUAAGCUGGGUGAUCAAAGCAAUCUACAUGAUGCAUCUCUGUCUAUGUAGCUGUUUACCAUAAGCUGGGUGAUCAAAGCAAUCUACAUGAUGCAUCUCUGUCUAUGUAGCUGUUUACCAUAAGCUGGGUGAUCAAAGCAAUCUACAUGAUGCAUCUCUGUCUAUGUAGCUGUUUACCAUAAGCUGGGUGAUCAAAACAAUCUACAUGAUGCAUCUCUGUCUAUGUAGCUUUACUUAGCAUAAACUGAUCUUAAUGACUUUGUUUAAACCUAUGAGCCUACCAUCUAUGUAGCUUCAUACCAUCUAUAUAAUGUGUCCCUUCCUAUCUACUUCCCUUGUGUAUCACAUUGUAACGAAGCAUUUAUGUACCAGCAGUAAAGACUUGGGUGUCUGAAUAUUCU